GGACAUGGGUCAGUGGUAGAGUAUCUGCCUUGCAUGCAGAAGGACCCAGGUUCAAUCCCUGGCAUAUCUA
rnacentral:tRNA from 1 species